AGUGAACGCUGGCGGUAGGCCUAACGCAUGCAAGUCGAACGGCAGCACAGUAAGAGCUUGCUCUUACGGGUGGCGAGUGGCGGACGGGUGAGGAAUACAUCGGAAUCUACUUUUUCGUGGGGGAUAACGUAGGGAAACUUACGCUAAUACCGCAUACGACCUACGGGUGAAAGCAGGGGAUCUUCGGACCUUGCGCGAUUGAAUGAGCCGAUGUCGGAUUAGCUAGUUGGCGGGGUAAAGGCCCACCAAGGCGACGAUCCGUAGCUGGUCUGAGAGGAUGAUCAGCCACACUGGAACUGAGACACGGUCCAGACUCCUACGGGAGGCAGCAGUGGGGAAUAUUGGACAAUGGGCGCAAGCCUGAUCCAGCCAUACCGCGUGGGUGAAGAAGGCCUUCGGGUUGUAAAGCCCUUUUGUUGGGAAAGAAAAGCAGCAGGUUAAUACCCCGCUGUUCCGACGGUACCCAAAGAAUAAGCACCGGCUAACUUCGUG
rnacentral:rRNA from 1 species